CGCAAGCCUGACGGAGCAACGCCGCGUGUGGGAAGAAGGCUCUUGGGCUAUCAACCACUUUUCUCAGGGAAGAAGUCCUGACGGUACCUGAGGAAUCAGCCUCGGCUAACUCCGUGCCAGCAGCCGCGGUAAUACGGAGGAGGCAAGCGUUAUCCGGAAUUAUUGGGCGUAAAGCGUCCGCAGGGGGCACAUCAAGUCUGCUGUUAAAGGCUGGAGCUUAACUCCGGUAGAGCAGUGGAAACUGGUGUGCUAGAGGGCGACAGGGGUAGAGGGAAUUCCCAGUGUAGCGGUGAGAUGCGUAGAGAUUGGGAAGAACACCGGUGGCGAAAGCGCUCUACUGGGUCGCACCUGACCCUCAGGGACGAAAGCUAAGGUAGCG
rnacentral:rRNA from 1 species